CGCUUCCAGGUGACGUGUUUGGCCUGUCUGCAGAGUUGUGAGAAAUCUGAUUGAAAAAGACAAAAAAAGCCCAUCCUGGCAGGAGAUCUGUCUUUCAAAUCCAAGCAAAUCCAAAAUAUCUGCAAGAGAAAUCAGCUAACCAGUAAUG